rnacentral:siRNA from 1 species
UCGAGGUGUACGAGGCUUUUC